rnacentral:lncRNA from 1 species
GGUAGUCCUGGAAGCUCUUCAGGAAACAAAUCUGGGAAUUCUCGAACAACUGGUACUGAGGAUGGUUCCCUAACCUGACUGUCUAGCUCUCUCACAUAAGCUAGGAACCCCUGACACCCCUUCCUUAACAUCCUACGAGCCUGGAGGGCUGAUAUCAAACCCCUAGGUGUCCCUCUCCUGUCUCCUCUGAAGACACACUCUGACCCAUCCUGGUCUNNNNNNN